UCGUUUAAGCAGUCGCACAUUAUUUUGCUUUCCCACUUGGUUUAUUAAAACCUUCCAUUCCUAUUUAUACUAAUCGCUGAAGUACCUUCACCAACUCAAUCCACUCGACGUCUUCUUUUUCCUUUCUUUUUAUUCUUUUUUUAUUCCCUCGACAGACAGUCGGCACUUCAAGCAUAAUAAUGCAUAUAUUUGUGCAGUGGCCGAUUUGGCCGAAAGGCAUCAAAAUGAUAACUUGACAAGCUUGUUUUGUUUAUUUUAUUUUUAUAUCAUUCCUUUUUCUGCUGUCCAUCUAUCAUGCUAGAACACUAACCUAGUGGGAGAGAUACGAAUAUGGAAUGCUUUGUUUUCAUUAUUUUAUGUUUCUCUCUCUCAUCACCUUCUUUCUACUUUUAAUUCUUUAUUCCUUCUCUCCUUAUUCCUUCUUUCUUUAAUCCUUCUUACUUCUCUUUUUAAGGCUGACAGAGAGAGAGACCAUCAGAACCGGUUUCCUCUUCCUUUCCUUAGCUUAUUUCUUCCUUUCUUUUAUUCUCCUUUCCUGUUCCUUCUUCUUCUUCUCUUAGACCGAAACCCACCAAGACAAUCAGAGAACCAUAAACAAAUUCAGUAAAAACAAACCCAUCAAGGCCCGAGACCCCACGAACUCGGAACCACCGAGACUCGACGAACCCGUGCGUGACCCAGCCGACCCGGCGUCGACCCAGGGGCAACUCCGACGGGUUCUGGCCGUGACCGGCGAACCCAGCAACCCGGAUUUCCAAGCAUCUCAUUCCUUCCGAACAACCGAAGCGUGACCAAACCCAGAACCGGAUUCUAGCCAAUUCCCCAAAUGCGAGACGCCAGUGGACACCAAGAAGACCUGAUUUGGGCCAUGUUUCCAGUAGGCCAGAAGAACCUACAGAUUUAUCCAACCCAAUCUAAUCUGACCUGCAAGCCCAACCCAACAGCAAUCCACAAAUUGAUUUCAGCCCAGACCCGCAAGCCCAUCAACCCAGACCCAGCAGCCCAAAACCCAUAAGCCCCACAAACUAGUUCCAAACCAGCAACCCACAAGCCCAAAGCCCAGACCGAAGCCAUUAAACCCAGCAGUAACCCAUACCCACUGAGCUUGACCCGAACCCGGAACCCCGACCCGCCUCCGGCGACUUUUCCGGCAGUGUCUCCGGCCACUUUUCCGGCGACUUUCCGGCGACUUUCCGGUGACUUUUUCGGCUAUUUUUCUCGGCGACCAAACUCACCGUUUCGCUGGAUUUUCGAGUGAAAAUCCUUAAUAUGAUGAAUUGAGACAGCACAAAAAGGGCUGUAAGUAUUUUUAUACUUACUGAGGGUAGCACUGGAUUUCAGUAAUGUUGUGUUUAUGUUUUAUUUUAAUUGGAUGCGUGUGACUGAUUAUUGCAUACUGUUAAUAAUCAACCUAUUAAUAUUGGGCGCGACGUCUCCCAAAGGUUCAUGAUAGAGUUGAACCGGAAACAAUAAUAAUCAUAUUGAUUGGGACGGCUUUCAAAGUACUAGAGGAGGGAGGUCUCCGAUAGUGCGAAAACAAGUUAAUUAAAAUGUAAUGUAGAGGGGACGGCCUCGAGAAACACGAUUAAACGGGGGGACGUGCCCUUACAAGAGAGGAGUGUAAUCACUAUAUAAACUGUUAAACUUUGCAUGAAAAACUAUCACCACAUCAUUAUGUCAUAUCUGUUCCUUAAAAUAACGCAUAAAUCAUGAUGUUGUUGAAAGACAGUUAGCUCACUCAUGGAACUAUGGGAUUGUGGCGGUAACCACCUUCUCAUAGAUGUUUGCGCAGGUACUGAAGAUUAUGGAAUGGAUUAACUGCUAGCUUAAGAGAUUUAUAGCUGUGUAGUUAGGAUUUUAGUACUUUGUACUCAUAGAUGUUUGUACUAUUUGCUUGUAAUAUGUCUAGACAUUUACUUGUAAUUAAUAAGUUCCAUGCAGGCUUUAGUGUCAUAUGUGACACAUGUUUCUUUGUAAAUAGUGUAAAGAUUUUUAAUGUAUUUUCUAGAAGAUGUCAGUUAAAGCUCUGAAUAUAUCGUAAGGGAGUUGUCCCUAUCGGUGAUGUUUAAAAAAAAAGAUAUUCGUAUUUUUCC